rnacentral:rRNA from 1 species
CCUACGGGAGGCAGCAGUCGAGAAUCAUUCACAAUGGGGGAAACCCUGAUGGUGCGACGCCGCGUGGGGGAAUGAAGGUCUUCGGAUUGUAAACCCCUGUCAUGUGGGAGCAAAUUAAAAAGAUCGUACCACAAGAGGAAGAGACGGCUAACUCUGUUCCAGCAGCCGCGGUAAUACAGAGGUCUCAAGCGUUGUUCGGAAUCACUGGGCGUAAGGCGUGCGUAGGCUGUUUCGUAAGUCGUGUGUGAAAGGCGCGGGCUCAACCCGCGGACGGCACAUGAUACUGCGAGACUAGAGUAAUGGAGGGGGAACCGGAAUGCUCGGGGUAGCAGUGAAAUGCGUAGAUAUCGAGAGGAACACUCGUGGCGAAGGCGGGUUCCUGGACAUUAACUGACGCUGAGGCACGAAGGCCAGGGGAGCGAAAGGGAUUAGAUACCCCAGUAGUC